rnacentral:lncRNA from 1 species
GGAAGUCCUGACGAGACGAAGCCAGCUCAACAGUCAGUGACUGCCGUGGAAGACGCAGUUACACUUGCCAAUGCCAUUGGGAAUCUGAAGAUCGUAUCAAAUGAACGAUUCGAGUUGGCUAAAAAAUCUUUCGAAAAAGCAGCAGAAAAAGCAAGCGAAGCAUUUCAUAACACAGCACUGAGCACAGACGAAAGAAUCCUUGCGAGUAAAGUUCGCAUCGCGAGCGCAAUACUUCAGCAUUUGGACGACCCAGAAGUCGCGGCAAGUGACUGUUUAAACAGCUUGAGAGAAUUAAAUGACAUGCCAUCCAUACAAGAAAUAUUUUCCGUGCAUCUUAAAGGUGGAAUAAAAUCAGUCUUCAACAAAGAGUCACGAGUGGAAGUCGUGGAAACUGUAACGAUGAUCAAUUUGAUCUUGGCUGAUUUUAUCUCGAAGUUUACAAAGCGAAGAAUGGCUGUUUUUGAUUGGCCAAUGAUAAAAUGUGGCAAGCGAAUUGUCCAUCCGAUUCAUUACGACCAAACGAGAUUACCAAAUCUGAAAGAAAUGGAAAUAACACCACCCUGGGACAUUGUAGUGCUAAAAGAGGCAAUCUCGGCCAGGUCAAUGCAUUGGCUGGCUGCAUUAACCAGAAAAGGAGAUCUUAUUUGUUUCCCCGAUGACAGACAUGGUCCUCAAAAACUCGACAUAACAACAGGUAAGCUGCAGCCGUACCGUCGUCCUCCUUUGGAAGACAACACUGAACAUCCUCAGCCCCGGGGUAUAGCCAUGGAUUUAGCUUUCGAUGAAGACGACACAAUGUAUGUUCUUUCGGAAGACUACUCGCCUAACUAUACCCUUGGCUAUACGUUGUCAGUGUACAGUGCAGAUGAAAGAAAUAUGCAUCAUUGUAGUUUGAAAUUCUUGGAAGGAAAAAGCUCUGUUAACAUUCCUAUUACUGUGACCAAAGAUAAAAAGAUUGUUAUUAGUUGUGUAAAUAAUGAGACGUCGAAUAUCAUGGUAUAUUUAUGUAACAGCGACGGAAAACUGAUGAACAGCUUUGACAUAGGUCUGAAGUCAAGAAGCAGCUGGGGUAAUAGUAAACAUUACAUAGAAUUCGUGUCCGUUUCUUUCGAUAAUAAAAUAAUACUCGUAACAUGCAAAAUUGACGAUUCAGAAUCAUACAUGCUUCAUAUCUACACAGAAGACGGAGAGUUACAAAGGACUGUUAAAUUUCGUCCAAGUGAAGGUAACACGUUUUUCUCUGGCACAAUGGUUUACAACCAAGUCACCGAGAACAUCAUUGGUCGUGUUAAGUUAAAGGGGUCUCCAUAUGGUGAUGAUGAGAAGAUAUGGAUAGAAUAUUUGUCCGGUCAAACUGCUGAAAGUGAGUGCUCAUAUUUGCUGUAUGAUACAAACUUUCCAGAAAGUAUACCAACACGGGUUAUCAGUCUUGUCUGCAACACAAAUGGUGCAGUUGCUUUGGUUAGUGAAAAUCGUGUCAUUUUUCUGCAAAAACCAUCUCCGUGAACUUCAACAGAAUAUUUUGUUGAUUUUACCGUGAAUACUCUAUUAAGCGCCUCUCAUUCACAGCAAAGAAACACCAGUGUAUACCACUGGAAAAAAAUUUUGAAAAUCCAUAUAAGGUCAGAAUAGAAAUUGUAUGGAACUUUAUUGGAAAUAGAAUGGAUUUUGAUGAUCCAUAAUAAUUGUAUAUUUCCAUAGUAUGGAUAUAGUAUCGAAAUACUGAAAAUAGGAUGGAUAUACUAUGGAUUUAGUGGCAGGGCAUUUUUUAAGAAUUCGUCAGUGGGGGGGCCAUCUACAAAAAGGGACCAUACUAUACAGAGUGUGGAGCAAUGAUAGAUGGUUUGUUGGUAACAAAACGUUUGGUGUGG